GGGAAACUGCCUGAUGGAGGGGGAUAACUACUGGAAACGGUAGCUAAUACCGCAUAACGUCGCAAGACCAAAGAGGGGGACCUUCGGGCCUCUUGCCAUCAGAUGUGCCCAGAUGGGAUUAGCUAGUAGGUGGGGUAACGGCUCACCUAGGCGACGAUCCCUAGCUGGUCUGAGAGGAUGACCAGCCACACUGGAACUGAGACACGGUCCAGACUCCUACGGGAGGCAGCAGUGGGGAAUAUUGCACAAUGGGCGCAAGCCUGAUGCAGCCAUGCCGCGUGUAUGAAGAAGGCCUUCGGGUUGUAAAGUACUUUCAGCGGGGAGGAAGGUGUUGUGGUUAAUAACCACAGCAAUUGACGUUACCCGCAGAAGAAGCACCGGCUAACUCCGUGCCAGCAGCCGCGGUAAUACGGAGGGUGCAAGCGUUAAUCGGAAUUACUGGGCGUAAAGCGCACGCAGGCGGUCUGUCAAGUCGGAUGUGAAAUCCCCGGGCUCAACCUGGGAACUGCAUUCGAAACUGGCAGGCUAGAGUCUUGUAGAGGGGGGUAGAAUUCCAGGU
rnacentral:rRNA from 1 species